rnacentral:rRNA from 1 species
UACGUAGGGGGCAAGCGUUGUCCGGAUUUACUGGGUGUAAAGGGUGCUCAGGUGGUUGUGUAAGUCAGAGGUGAAAUGCUGCAGCUUAACUGCGGAACUGCCUUUGAUACUAUACAGCUUGUGUACGGAAGAGGAUGAUGGAAUUCCUGGUGUAGCAGUGAAAUGCGUAGAUAUCAGGAAGAACACCAGUGGCGAAGGCGGUCACCUGGUCCGUUACAGACACUAAAGCACGAAAGCGUGGGGAGCAAAC